rnacentral:rRNA from 1 species
AUAAUGGGUCAGCGACUUAUAUUCUGUAGCAAGGUUAACCGAAUAGGGGAGCCGAAGGGAAACCGAGUCUUAACUGGGCGUUAAGUUGCAGGGUAUAGACCCGAAACCCGGUGAUCUAGCCAUGGGCAGGUUGAAGGUUGGGUAACACUAACUGGAGGACCGAACCGACUAAUGUUGAAAAAUUAGCGGAUGACUUGUGGCUGGGGGUGAAAGGCCAAUCAAACCGGGAGAUAGCUGGUUCUCCCCGAAAGCUAUUUAGGUAGCGCCUCGUGAAUUCAUCUCCGGGGGUAGAGCACUGUUUCGGCAAGGGGGUCAUCCCGACUUACCAACCCGAUGCAAACUGCGAAUACCGGAGAAUGUUAUCACGGGAGACACACGGCGGGUGCUAACGUCCGUCGUGAAGAGGGAAACAACCCAGACCGCCAGCUAAGGUCCCAAAGUCAUGGUUAAGUGGGAAACGAUGUGGGAAGGCCCAGACAGCCAGGAUGUUGGCUUAGAAGCAGCCAUCAUUUAAAGAAAGCGUAAUAGCUCACUGGUCGAGUCGGCCUGCGCGGAAGAUGUAACGGGGCUAAACCAUGCACCGAAGCUGCGGCAGCGACGCUUAUGCGUUGUUGGGUAGGGGAGCGUUCUGUAAGCCUGCGAAGGUGUGCU